rnacentral:rRNA from 1 species
ACGUACGGCCAUAGAUACUGGAAAGCACGGGAUCCCGUCCGCUCUCCCCUAGUUAAACCAGUAAUCGGCGGAUUAGUAGUUGGGUCGGUGACGACCAGCGAAUACCCGCUGUUGUACGUU